UGAUGUUUUGCUUACAAGUGGUCACAUAGAAUGGCUAUUAGGGUUGUAUGGUGUAUUGAGGGAGAAAUUCUCCGGUAAAGGCUACUAGAUUGACUGUCCUCUUGCGGUUUCUGCUCGCAAACUCAUAGUACAACUUUGCUCUCUACAGGAACUAUAUUUUCAUCUGAUGCUGGUGCUUCUCAAGAGAAGCAUCUUCUGCAACUAUUAUCUGGAAUCGUUCAAUUGAUUCAUCCUCCUGAUGUUAUUGCAAAAGCAAUUGAAAGUGGAGGAAGUGAGAGUGGCUUGAUGGAUGCCGUGGACUAUUAUCCAUAUCUGCUGUUACCAAUCCAGUUUAUUUGAUGAUCUCUUGAAACACAUAAGGCCUUUUGGUACACUCAGUUUGUUGUUUGCCUUGAUGUGUGAAGUUAUUAAAGACCUUAUGACCAAAGAUAUGGACGAAGAACCUUGGAGUUGGGUUGCACGUGAUAUAUUACUAGAUACCUGGAUGACACUUUUAACAGUAAAUAGUUAAUAUGCUCAAUUCCAGCGUAUGAUACUUGCUACAACAAUGGUGGCUUUGUACUAACUAGUGGGUUACCACCCGCACUUUGUAGCGGGUUCGAAACGUAGAUAAAAAUAAG